rnacentral:lncRNA from 1 species
GUGCUGGAAUUACAGAUACAUGCUACCACUCCUAGCUCAGGUGAUAUUUUUAAAUGUAUGUAUUUUUAAUUAAAAUAUAAUUACAUCAUUUCCCCUUUCCUUUCUUUUCUCUAGCCCCUCCCAUGUCGAUCUUAAUCCCUUUUGAACUGAAGGCCUCUUUAUUAUUUUUACACACACACACACACACACACAUACACAAAUGCAUGAAUACAGUCUGCUGCACUCUUGAUGUUGGUGUAUAUAUAAUUUCAGGGAUGAGCACUCUAUAUUAGAUAAUUGUAGAGUGAGGAGAUGAUACUAAAAUCUAGUUCCAUAAUUGGUUCAUCAUUUGGUCAAUAAAGAAGGCAAAAGUCAGUUGCUGGACAAAGGGUAAAGAUGGGUUUGGUCCCAGGAAGAAGAGAAGAGACACAGUGAAAGAGGAGGUCUUUCAGCCAGGCUUUGGAACAAGAAGCAUAAACAACCAUGUAAGGUUUCGGGGUACCUAGGGCCUGCAGCCUCCACUGAGGGUGGGGACCAAGAGAGUUGGCCGGAGCUAGUUGCUAGCUGAUAAGAUUAGGGCAGGAGAUUCAGCGCCCAGCAGUUGUAGUAAAAAUAAAGCUGUCUACUGUUUUCCAUCUAAGGAGCAAAGGUGGGCAGAAAAAGAGAGCAACAUUAUCCUCUUUCUCCCAGCAGCUAGCAGCUGUCAUCUGCCGUAACUCCUCAGUAAAGCCUGAGGUCUGGAAGUCAUCUACCCAACCUUAGCCAUGAACUUGGCUGGCUUAAUUCUACAUGGGUCUUAAUUAUGAUAGCCAUAGCUGCUGUAAGUUGAAUAAUGCAGCAGCCAUGCCAAGGUCAAAGCCAGUAUGUCAUAACACUCCUCCCCAUCCUCUGGCUGCAUUCUUUUCUUAUAUUUGGAGUCUUAGUAACUGCUUAAAUUUGUGUGUAUCUUCUAAUCUCUUCCCCCACGGGACCAUUUAACCUUCCGCUAAAACUAAUAAUUUGGAUAUUAAUUUGAAGCCUUUUGGUUUCCCUUUCUUCCCAAGUUCAAUCUGAUUUUAGUAUUUUCUCAAUAUCUCUGUGAUACUGUUACUACUUUGCAUUUUUUCGUGUUACAACCCUAAUUAGAUCUCAUUUGCAGCCUAUUAAACAGGUUCCACAUCUCCAGGAAUUUCCAUUGAAAAGUCUUUUAAUAGUCUACAUUAAUCCUAGUAUGAUCUUUUAUAAAUUAAGUCACUUCCUGUUAUUCUUCUGCUUGAGAAAUAUAAGGAACUGAGUUUUAUCUUUUCAUUGUCAUCUCUAUCAUGGUGCUCCAUCUCCCUCUCCCCCCCAAUACUUUUGGCAUUUACCAAGUGUAUAAUGCUCCACUUUUCCCUCCUAGGUCUCAAGACAAAGUAUUCUCUGUCAUUUCACCCUUCUGCCCUCUCUUCUAAGUUCAGGGACCUGGCUGUUCAUGAGGCAGCCUAAUUAAGGCAGGGACCAAUAUUGGUUAGGGGCAGAAGUCUUUUUUAGUAUAUGUCCCCAGAGCUAUUUUGGGAAAUCAGGUCAAGUUUGAAGUCACUUCAGAUGCAGGAAGAAGCAGAUGAGAAUUUUCAGUUCUACCUUAGAUAUCUAAAUUACUCAUCCAUAGUUGUAUUUUCUUUAUACUGCUUGGCUGUCUUGUCCUGCUAGUUUUAUGUGCACACUUGGCAAUGACACAAGCACUACUGUGUCACAUGUAGUGAUAUGUUAUUCUCCUGUAGAACCUCUAAAGGAUCAGGAGAAAACCUUUCAACUAUCUAGAUUCUUCUUACAAUGACACGGAAUGCAAAUAUUUUCUUCCUAUUUUACUAUGUGCAACCACUUUAAAACAUGCACAUUUAUUUUUAUGUUAUUCUCCUUAGCUAGUCUUAUUCUGGGUAGAAAAGAGUUUAGUAUAGUGAGAAUACUUUUACCAGCUAAGAUUCUGGGUCAAAGAAACCACAUGUAACCUGUCAAAAUUUAAUUUUCUAAGGAAGCAGGGCAAGUAUUUCAUUAGUUUCUUCUUCCAAGACAUUUGAACCUAUUCUGUCUUAGCAACAGUCAUUAUAUUUCCCCAGCAGACAGUAGGAGGCCAUCUGACAGUUGGAACAUUUAUCUUUAAUCACAACAGAGUUUGGAGUGGGGUUCAGCACUUCUGUUGACCAGCUGCAUACAAUUUCAGUCUUUCUUAUUCUUUCUCAGUUACAUUUGGGCAACAUUAAAGUGAAGAAGCAUCAAUUAACUUAUACACUGAAACAUAUAUAACUGUAUUAGAUUAAGUAUAUUUUCACCAAUAGUAUUACUACUGUCUAAAUAUAAAUCACUGAAAUACUUUUAGUGUUCAAUAUUCACCACGAAUGCUGAUCUUAAUGAACAUAUUUUCAGAUAUACAAGAAUAGGACUAUAGGGCUGGAGCGAUGGCUUGAUGGUUUACAGUACUGUUUGCUCUUCCAGAGGUCCAGAGUUCAAUUCCCAGCAAUGACAGGGUGGCUCACAAUCAUCUAUAAUGGGACCUGAUGUCCUCUUUUGUUGUGGAGUUAUACAGGAAGACAGAGUACUCAUAUACAUAUAUAAAUAAAUCUUUAAAAAAGACUGUAAAACGAAAUUCUAAAAUAAUUGUUAAGUUUAAACUAUUGUGAAAGUGUUCAGAGAAGGCACCAGAAACACUGAAAUGAGAGGCCUAAGAGAUGAUUCUUUACUGUUAACAUCUAAGCAAAAAGCACUUCAGACUAGUAAACUAUUAGUGAUGUUUCUCUUCUGAACUGUGUUAGCUAUAGGAUGAAAGAGCCAGGCCAUCUCCAUAGUGAACUUCACUUUAGCAAGAGAGUAAACACAGUCCUCCAUACCAGCUGCAAUUAAGGCAUUAGUAGUGUGCUCUGAUUGAUUGCUUGGAGCUGUUGCUGAGAAAUAGAUGUGUGGUACAGCUUUUAUCACCAGAGUUUGCAAAAUAGCAAGUCCCUUGCUUAGAUAGAGUGUAGUAAGUGGUAUUAUUAGGUAGUCCUUCUAUCUAAAUGACCUAGAAUUCAGUGUAUCAGCAACUUAUAAUAAACAAGCCCUUUCACCUGAUGGUUCCUCUCCUCACACAGAAGUACUUUUUCUGUUAAUGAUAUAACUGGUUAAUACAAGACCAGAUGGUUGCAACAUUUAGCGAAGGCAAAUGACACUUUUAACAAACAGAAAACUAGCAUUAGGAUACUCAGGGGUUUCAAUUGAAUUCUAAGCAUAUACAGUCCACCUUACAGGACUAUUAGCAUUAACUAUAUAAAGUGGCCAUUUUCUAGUGCUAUCUAAUUGAUGAGGUUGUUUUGCUCAUUGUCAGUUUGAUUUAAACAUUUCCUAGCUUUCUUCCUGCUUUGCAGGUGCAUUUUCAAGUACUAACACAAUUCCACCAAUGCAUCCUGAGUACAUUUAGUUAGCUCUUUCUGAAACAAAGAACUCUCUUUUAUUUUAAUCAGUAACAUAAAUAUUAACACACCUAAGUUUGACAAAAAGGAGGCACAAGCAACAUUACAUUCCUUAUUCAGCUUCUAUCACUCAGUCUUAAUUAUAUUACAAUUUCGUGAGGAUAACUUUCUGUGUACAAUACUAGAAUCUUGUGGUAUUAAAGACAACCAAAAAGCUUU